GAGGUAAGGGAUAGUCUAUACAAGAUAUGUUACUUGCAGCUGUGUAUACUGCUUAUGACUGAUGGUUUAUCAUGUGUUUGUUUGUUGAAAAGUGUAUAGUGAAUUUUUGUUAUGAUAAAGAUGCAGAAAAGUGAGUUUGAGUUAUGAGUGGGCCUUUGCAACAAGGGGUAAAUUAAUGAAUAUAAACUCUUAGAGCUGUGUUGAUUAUGCUAGUAACUUUAGUUAGUCAAAAGAAAGGUAAAAUUAUGGUUUUAGAUGAAUCCUAGGCUUGAAUAUAGGAUUUGGUAUGUGAGGUUGUUGGAAAUGCUUUGUGCAGAAUUUCUGCAGAAAUAUGCAUAAUUGGCAGUAAAACGAAUGAUUUUCUGGGAGCAGUCCAGACCUAAUUUUUAGAUGAGAUUAUUUUUCUGUAAAACUUUAGUGUGUCUUGAACAUGCCAUAAAAAUUUCAGAGAAUUUGGCCAAGCGGUUUGAAAGAUAUGAUUUUUUGAAGUUUAGUGGUUGCUGCAGAUUUUUCUGGUUUUCUGGUUCUGCAGUACCAACUUUCAGAUGCUAUAACUUUUAAUUUAAACAGAAUUUUGAGUUGCUUCCAAAAGGAUUUUAAAGAUCUAUCAGUCUAUUUUAAGUGAGUACAAUUUUCAUGUUCAUAUCUAUUUUGUAGACUUAGAUAAGUCACUUGGAAAAUCAGUUAUUUGCUGGAAACUCUGAACUGGUUUAUGAAAACAGGGCUGUAUUUCUAAGCUUAUAACUUUUUCAUGUGACAUGGUAAUAAUCUAAAAUUUAGUUUUCUGGAAAGCUGAAAGAGUCUUGUCUAAGUACAUAAAUUUUGAAAGGAAAUGGAUGAGAACUGGAUUUUUAGUGAAUUUAACAAAUUUACUGCUCACUGCUGUUUUCUGCAAUGAUAGCAGAAUUUUAAAAAUAUUUGUAAUAUUUUCAGUUAUGGUCGGAAUGCCCCAGAACCAAGUUUUAUUUUCUAAACCCGUGAUUUUACAAUAACUAAAGGGAUUAAAGAGAGUAUAAUGACCAAUUAAGAAUGUUUACCUGGUAAAUAGUUAAGGAAAGUUUGAACGUUGUUAAAGCUGAGGGAACCCGUAAGGGUGGUUUUAGUGCUAUUUUAGAGGAGAUUAUGUCCGAAUUUCUAUAAAAGUUCAAGGACUUAGUUUAAUGAAAAUGUGUAAGUUGCCCCUAAGAAAGGUUAAAGUUAAAGACAAUGAUAUUAAGAUAAAGUGAAGAAAGAAAUGAGGAACAAGGAAUGAAAUAAAAGUUGAGAAUUAUAUUGAAUGGGCCUUGUGCCGUACUACUAAUGCGAAAGUGCCCGCCUAAUGGAUAGCCUGAGAUUGCUAAUGCGGGAAUGUUCGCUUAAUUGAUAGCACUGUUCCUUACUGUGAUACACAUUGAAAUGUUAUUAUAAUGAGGCCUAAUUGACACGGGUAACCGUGAUGCCAAGGUGUCUAAUUGACACAGUAAAGGGACCAUACUGGGGUUCACUCUGAGUAACGUCGGGUUGCGGGUAGAUAACCGACGCAUGAGCUCAUGGCCUGCGCUAGGAAUAGGUAUGCAUCAUCUUGUUUGCGCAUAUGAACUUCUUGUGAAUUAUUUACUGCCAUUUCUUUCUUGUUCAUGCUACUUACUUGUCAUAAAUAUGUUUGUGCCUUGAGUCUCUGUAUUUGUUCUUUUUCUGUUUCGCGACAACUUAGAGAUAAAGACCCUAGGUUCCCCUUUUUCCUUACUGAGAACUCUAGGUUCUCACCCUUCUUUUCUUUCUUUUCCCCCUCCCCAGACGGGUCCGGCAGAGGAGCCCUGUGAGUUUCGUUCUAACCGCUGAGCUAUGAGGAUCCGGCGCGCGGUGGAGUCUUCAUAUGGAGCAUGUUUUGGACCUCUUUCUUGCACAAUGUUCGGAGAUCACUCCAGAGUUAGUCGCAGUGGAUCUUUCGCUCCUGUUUGAUGAUCUUAGUAUCACUUUCCCCUCACUUUUGUAGUACUUUUAGAGGGGUAGAACAUCUUAGUAGUUCGGUUCCAGCUUAGGAAACCCGUGUGAGGGUUGGGACUGAUUUCUUCUUUUGUAUCUGUACAUAUAACUUGGUGUGAUACUCGGCUUUGAUGGAUGACACGUAUCCUUGAACUUAACUCGUGUAUAUUAUAUAUAUGUUUAUAUAUGUUAUUUUCUGUUGCCUUGUGUUUUCUUACACGACAACUCUGAAGAAACUAACCUUGUGAGCAACUAAACGCUAUUCCACAAGUAGUAAUCUGUUCACGAUUAAACCGAUAAAGGCUUUUAUUGAUAUUAAUUUAUAAAAAUCUGAGUCUAGAGCUAAGUAGGCCGCACGACGAGUAACACCUAGACAUUUGGCAUUGGUCAUGACGUGUCGAAAGUUGGGGUGUUACAGUUGGUAUCAGAGCAGUUCGUCCUUUGAGCCUUGGGAUGGACUGUCUAUACUUUCUUGCAUACUCUGAAUCUUUUUAUACCAUGCAGUUAGGAUAUUUUGGUAAUAUAUUCUGCAUGAAGGUCUGUGAACAUCCAUUGUAGUAAUAUUAAUACUUGAUUUUGAUAUAUUAAGACUGAUCACCUUAAUAUUGAUUAUUGGGUAUUGAUAGGACUCAAAUGGCUGCGAAUAGGCGAGGACGCCCUCGACUGGGAGGAACGAGUGAGGGAAAUUUCCCUGAUGCAGCGGCUAUUCUCGAAUCUGUAAACGCUAUGGCCGCUGCUGUAUGUGAAUCAGUAGCUGCUACUAACCGAGUAGCUGAACGUCUUGAUCGUCAGAAUGGAAUUGAAAAUAACCAUGGGCCUAGACAAGAAAAUGAAAAUGGUGAAGAAGGUGAAGCUGGACUACGUAACCGGCCCAUGACUCUAGCCACUUUCUUGAAGAUAAAUCCGCCUCAAUUCCAUGGGAACACUAGUGCUACACGAGCUGAUGACUGGUUUAAAGAAAUAGGACGAGCAAUGCGAGCCCAACAAGUCCCUGAAAGACAGCGAGUGGAAUUUGCUGCUUAUAUGUUGAGGAAUGACGCGCAACAUUGGUGGCAGGGAAUACUCCAACUACUAGGAAGAGAAGCUAUUGACAUCUCCUGGGAGGAAUUUUCAGUUGAAUUUUAUAAGAAGUAUUUUCCUGAGUGUUCUCGCACCGCUAAGGAAUUGGAGUUGCUUCAAUUAAAACAAGGAAACAUGACAGUCAGUGAGUACACUCGCAAGUUUGAAGAGUUAUGCCGGUUCUCGAACAUUUGUCAAGGAGCACCAGCUGCAUUCGAGAAAUGGAAGUGCAUCAAGUUCGAAGGAGGACUUAGAGAAGAACAGUUAGCUCAUGUGGGCCCGAUGGAAAUACAGAAUUUUGCAGAAUUAGUUAACAAGAGCCAACUGACGGAGGAAUGUGUAAAGAAGCUGGUGGCAGCACAAACUAAGCACAAAAACCUUCCAACAAGGGAUUUCAAUCGUAACCUCGCUCCUCAAGGAAGAAACUUCAAAGUAACUCGGCAGCCAGACUUAGGCAAACAAUUGCAAUCGACCCAACCAAGACUGAUAUGCACUGUGUGUGGAAGGAAUCAUGGGGGAAAACCCUGCUUGCUGAAGUCUGGGGUUUGCUAUAAUUGCGGAAAGCCCGGACAUAUAGCCAAAGAAUGCAUUCGACGAAAGCCUGAAUUUGGUUCCCUUGGACAGCAACAGCUAGGAAGGGUGUUUGUCUUGGAUGCGAGAAAUACUACCAAAAUCGAUCCCCACACUCGAGGUAACGAAAUUUUGAGGACAAAAUUUUUUUUAGGAGGGUAGAAUGUAACCACCCUACCCCAUAAGGCCUGUGAUUUUUUUUUAUUAUUCUUUACAGCGUUCGCUGACACGCAUAGGUUUAUAUAUAAGUAGCAUAGAUAACGAAUUAGAAUUAGAACACGUAGCGCAAAACUUUUCUUUUAGUGCUUCCAAGCGACGAACCUUUUUCCGAUUCAAUUAUUCUAUGGAAUAAGUAUUCCCUUGAACCAUAUUAGUUAGAUAAUUCAAAUUUUUGAACCGGUUUGAUUUUUCUUCUCUCGGUUCAACCAAACCAUGCUUUUCUUAAAUAACCCAGAUCUAGAAAAACUCUGAUUAAACUCAUCUUCCCUUCUUCUCUCACAACCGAACGUGUUGUCCAAGACCAUGGUUACCUCUUCAUUGUAAUCAAUACUGUGAUGUGGUGUUGCAAGAGGAAGAGGCCACGAAGCCUUGUCACACCAGCUCACCUCUUCCCACCUUCUGUAGAUAUAUAUAGAUGAGCCAAGUCCCUCAAUUUUCCUGGAAACCACACGAAGAGAAGAAAGGAAGCAAGAGUGGCGGCCAAGAAGAAGGAAGAGGAAGACCCAGCAGAAAUCAUCAUCAUCUGCGUGCGUCACCACCAAGAAGAAGGAGAAGGGUCAUCAAGAGAGCUGCUACCCGAAGCCAAAGAAGGAACCCUACCGCUUUCCUUUCCUGGUUUUCUUAGUGUUCCUCUUGUUGGGUAAGAACCAGUAACUUGUGUUCUGUUGAUUUUUCCUAAAUUAAAGAUUCUACCCUUAUUGAGCUCCAAUUCUUUUAAUUGGUAACCAAACCAAUCAAUUCAGCCCAUCACAAGAGUAAGAACUCUUCUCUUGCUCCAUAUGCAACUCGGCCAAUUAGCUCUAUGAAUUGACAAAUCUCUUUAAUUAUGUUUGUUAUGGUUUUCUGAUUUAAUAUAGCAAAGGACAGACUUUGGUUUGUGAAAUUCUCGAAGAGAGGUAAGGGAUAGUCUAUACAAGAUAUGUUACUUGCAGCUGUGUAUACUGCUUAUGACUGAUGGUUUAUCAUGUGUUUGUUUGUUGAAAAGUGUAUAGUGAAUUUUUGUUAUGAUAAAGAUGUAGAAAAGUGAGUUUGAGUUAUGAGUGGGCCUUUGCAACAAGGGGUAAAUUAAUGAAUAUAAACUCUUAGAGCUGUGUUGAUUAUGCUAGUAACUUUAGUUAGUCAAAAGAAAGGUAAAAUUAAGGUUUUAGAUGAAUCCUAGGCUUGAAUAUAGGAUUUGGUAUGUGAGGUUGUUGGAAAUGCUUUGUGCAGAAUUUCUGCAGAAAUAUGCAUAAUUGGCAGUAAAACGAAUGAUUUUCUGGGAGCAUUCCAGACCUAAUUUUUAGAUGAGAUUAUUUUUCUGUAAAACUUUAGUGUGUCUUGAACAUGCCAUAAAAAUUUCAGAGAAUUUGGCCAAGCGGUUUGGAAGAUAUGAUUUUUUGAAGUUUAGUGGUUGCUGCAGAUUUUUCUGGUUUUCUGGUUCUGCAGUACCAACUUUCAGAUGCUAUAACUUUUAAUUUAAACAGAAUUUUGAGUUGAUUCCAAAAUAAUUUUAAAGAUCUAUCAGUCUAUUUUAAGUGAGUACAAGUUUUAUGUUCAUAUCUAUUUUGUAGACUUAGAUAAGUCACUUGGAAAAUCAGUUAUUUGCUGGAAACUCUGAACUGGUUUAUGAAAACAGGGCUGUGUUCCUAAGCUCAUAACUUUUUCAUGUGACAUGGUAAUAAUCUGAAAUUUAUUUUUCUGGAAAGCUGAAAGAGUCUUGUCUAAGUACAUAAAUUUUGAAAGGCAAUGGAUGAGAACUGGAUUUUUAGUGAAUUUAACAAAUUUACUGCUCACUGCUGUUUUCUGCAAUGAUAGCAGAAUUUUAAAAACAUUUGUACAAUUUUCAGUUAUGGUCGGAAUGCCCCAGAACCAAGUUUUAUUUUCUAAACCCGUGAUUUUACAAUAACUAAAGGGAUUAAAGAGAGUAUAAUGACCAAUUAAGAAUGUUUACCUGGUAAAUAGUUAAGGAAAGUUUGAACGUUGUUAAAGCUGAGGGAACCCGUAAGGGUGGUUUUAGUGCUAUUUUAGAGGAGAUUAUGUCCGAAUUUCUAUAAAAGUUCAAGGACUUAGUUUAAUGUAGACAUGCAUCAUCUUGUUUGCGCAUAUGAACUUCUUGUGAAUUAUUUACUGCCAUUUCUUUCUUGUUCAUGCUACUUACUUGUCAUAAAUGUGUUUGUGCCUUGAGUCUCUGUAUUUGUUCUUUUUCUGUUUCGCGACAACUUAGAGAUAAAGACCCUAGGUUCCCAUUUUUCCUUACUGAGAACUCUAGGUUCUCACCCUUCUUUUCUUUCUUUUCCCCCUCCCCAGAC
rnacentral:lncRNA from 1 species